rnacentral:rRNA from 1 species
GACGAACGCUGGCGGCGUGCUUAACACAUGCAAGUCGAGCGGUAAGGCCCUUUCGGGGGUACGACGAGCGGCGAACGGGUGAGUAACACGUGGGUGACCUGCCCUCAGCUCUGGGAUAAGCCCGGGAAACUGGGUCUAAUACCGGAUAUGACUCCAUGACGCAUGUUGGUGGGGUGGGAAGCCUUGUGCGGCUGAGGAUGGGCCCGCGGCCUAUCAGCUUGUUGGUGGGGUGAUGGCCACCAAGGCGACGACGGGUAGCCGGCCUGAGAGGGCGACCGGCCACACUGGGACUGAGAUACGGCCCAGACUCCUACGGGAGGCAGCAGUGGGGAAUCUUGCGCAAUGGGCGAAAGCCUGACGCAGCGACGCCGCGUGAGGGAUGACGGCCU